AAGAUUUGAGAUUUUCUAAUCGCGUAUAUGUCCAUCCAGUUUUGUGUUGUUCCAUUGGUUGAUCAUCUUCCUCCAUCGCUCGAACCAUUUUCUGAUUCAAGCGUAAUGAAUGAAUAUAGAAUUAAAUGAAGGAAAAAUUCAUAAAAUUGGAGGAAAAAUGUUGAAUGAGAAGGGGAAACAAGAGAUUCAAUGACUUAUCCAUAAUUCCAAAGAGACUGCUAU
rnacentral:lncRNA from 1 species